GCGGGAGGGGAGGCUGGACCAAGGGGCCUGGUCCACCGGACCAGCGGUGGCGGCAUCGGCAUCUCGCCUCCUUCAGGCCUGCACGCGCCACAGGCCGCAGCCUGGACCAACCCCGCGUCCCCGGGCCGUGAGCGCUGCGGUCCCGGCCCCCCAGAGCGGGACGCCGGGCGGCCGCAGCCCCCCGGACCCGGCUCUCCGCCCGCUCCGCCCGCAGUCCCGGCGCGGAGAGCGGCCGCCCGAGCCGCUGCCGCGGCAGCGCGGGUGUCGGCGACGGAGCCCGGGGCGGGGAAGAGCGGAGGAAGGGGCGGCGAGGGGGCGGGCCGGCGGCGGCCAGGGAGGUCGGAGUGCGCGGGGCUCGGCACCCCCUCGGCCCGCGCUGCGCCAGCACCACCUGCGGAGCUGCGGUGCCCACGCCGUGCCGCGACCCCGCCGCCCCUGCUCCCUCCACACGCGGGCAAACAAAACAAGUUGCCGGUCGCUGCCGCCGGAGGGGGCCGGGCGGGUCACUCACCCUCAUCCUGCUCAGCGGGCUUGGGUCGUCCGGCCGCGGGGUCAGGGAAGACCAGAGGACCACUAGCCCCAGGAAGCUUCCCACCACCAGCAAACUGCGUGGUGAAUUUGUAACCGAAAGGCCCAGGUGAGAUGUGCAAAUAUCACUGGAUUGGAGGAGCUCACUUGGAAAGCCAGUAUUCCUCCUGAGCUAAUGAAAAGAAAGGCUGUCGUCUUAUGCCAAAAGCAAUACCAACCUUGUUCACGGGCUGAGAUCUAGAGUGUGUAAUUCACGAAGUAUGAAUCUGCUGGGUAAUGUGAUAUGAAAAGCGAAUGCACCAUUUCUUGGUGAUGAUUCAGGUCAGCGUUGGGACCCAGGAAUCUCCUGUUAAUCAGUACCCUGGUGAUUUUGAUCCAGGUCAUCAAGACCAUGGCUUCCAUCGUAGGCAGUCACACUCUUUCUCUCUUGGAUCAUUUGCUGUGGGGAAGCAAACUGUCAUAUGAGAGGACACUCAAACAGCCUCUGGAGUCUCAUUUGCUAAGGAACUGAGGACUCCAGCCUGAGAACUCAGGCAAGUAACUGAGGCCUGCCAACAACCAUGGAGAAAGCCUGGAAGUGGAUCCUCCCUCAGCCUUCAGUCGAGACAACAGCUGCAAUGACAGCCAAGCCAGCGCCACCCAGCUUAGCCACCCCCAGAGAACUAACUCUCAGAAACCAUGUAAGAUAAUACAUGUUUGUUGUUUUAAGCUGCUAAGUUUUGGGGUAAUUUAUUAUACAAUAGAUAAUUAAAACACAUAGCAUAUAAAUAAAAUCAAUAAAACCAGUAUGGGUCAGUAAUGAGUAAAUUAGAUAAUUAGACAAAUUUUGACAUUUCUGUUUCUAUGUUAAUUAUUUUUCUUCAGAAAAAUUCUCUACGGGUAAAAUAUGUUAAGAGUGGUUACCAACGGACAUUUUAAAAUUAAUAAUCAGUUUGGGAGGCCAAGGCGGUUGGAUUGCUUUAACUCAGGAGUUUGAGGCCAACCUGGGCAACAUGACAAAACCCUGUCUCUACAAAAAAUACAAAAAUUAGCCAGGCAUGGUCGUGUGUGCCUGUAGUCCCAGCUACUUGGGAAGCUGAGGUGGGAGGAUCAAUUGAGCCUGGGAGGCCAGGCUGCAGUGAGUCAAAAUCAUACCAUCUCAAUCCAGCCUGAGCAACAGAGUGAGACCCUAUCUAAAAUAUAUACAUGUAUAUUAACAAUUAUCUCUUGAAACUAAAGUAUAAUCACAGUACUAGUGUACUAUUUUCCAUUUUAUUAAAUGCACUAAACAGUAUUGCAAUGUGUUUGUGUUUAUUAAAAAAUAUUUUGGAAAUCUUUGGGAGAAAAGCUACUUCAAAUUAGUCUGAAAACUAUCAUUUCCUUCUAGCAAUGUGUAAUAAUGUAAUGACUGCUUAGAAUUUCCUGAGAGGGACUGUAACAUAUAUUUUAAGCAUAAUAUUGUAAACAAACAAGUUCUUUUGCAGUACUUGAAGAUCUUUUUUUGUGACUAUCCCCCUUAUAUAUUAUGAAGAUACAUUUUUUGUGACUAUCCUCUUUAUAUGUAUUGUGAAGAUAAGGUUUUUUAUAGUGAAUAUCCUCCUAAUGCUACUAGUAUUGUUUGCAAUCUGUCAUUAUUCUUAGUGUAAAAUUAAACUUCAACAGAGUACCUGUGUGAACUCUUAACAAUUUUUGAAUUAGUGAAGCCCCAAAUUAAUGAUGCUUUACUAGAUAUAAGGGAACUGGAAAGGCUGAAAUCUCAAGGUAGAGUCAAGGCAGUAAUUCCUAGCAGCCUGUGUUUCUCGGUGUUCUUCAUGCUUCACAGAGGUUGGAAUUCAGCUUCUGGUUUAAGUUGUCUUAAUCUUGACCACAGUGGUAAUUUUACUUUCCCACUCUUUUUUCCUCAACUAGAAUGACUCGGAGAGUUGAGCUAACAGAGGUAGAAUAUUGAUUCGUGAGAUAGGUUCUUAGAGAUAUAAGUGUGCGCAUGGAAGAAGGAGGAAUGGCGUGGAAGAGCAGGUGGAGACGGCCACAGCAGGGCUUAGAAAUUCCCUCUAUCCAAAGCCUGGUUGUGAGGAAUUUGAUAGAAAGGAUUGUGUGGGCUAAGACAUCAGUUUUUAUGGUAAUAUUUGAGGGAGAAAAUUGAGAUCUUGGAAUGCAUUUGAAAAAAAGAUUAGUUUUAAUACAAUUAUCACUUUACCUGAGACCACAUCUCAAAAUCAAAAUCAGUGAUAAUGUCUUUGCAUUAAUGUUGGAAAGACUUAUGCUACUUCUGCAUAAUUUUCUGGUAAAUUAUGUAAUGAGUGGUCAGUAUAAUAGCAUGGUUAUUGUGAAGGGUAAGAUAGUAUGUCAUUUUUUUCCCUCUUAACAUGUAAAGGCUAUUUUCCAUAUUAUACAUACAUUAAUAUUUAUAUGUGAA
rnacentral:lncRNA from 10 species